AAUUUUCUGUUUUAAUAGUUGCAAAAAACUGAAAACUCCUAAAUUGGUCUACUUGGUUCUGUUUUUGAAAAACUGAGAUAAAUGAGUAAAGGUAUUUGGAGAACAACUUUGGGCUGUUUUCUGAAUUUUCUAAAACCUAUUCUCUGUUGAGGGAAAACACGGAGAACACUUUGUUCGCUUAAAAAAAAUGACAGAACCCUUCUCGUUUAAAACCUUAGCCGUACAAGCCCUCCUUACAAUCUCUCUUCAAGCAUUUUCUCUCAGAUUUCUUGGUUACGGUCUCUCUUCAACCCAUCUUUCAAUUUCUUGAAGCUCAUGAUGGUCGAUCUGCGCUUCUGCGGUUGUCUCUCUUCGUUCGGCUAGGCAUGCUUGUGCUUGUAACUAUGGUGGAGCAUUUUGCAACUGGCAUCCAUUUGUGUCAUUUGUGGUGAGGCUAUUAAUGAUGAUACAAACCAAUUGUUUGGGUUUAGUUAUGUCAGUUGCUUCAUUGGGCCUGACCUUCCUUUUCAACUCUUCAUGAUGUACAGGACGGUUCCAGCCUUAGAGCUUGAUCGUGCUUGUCGAGGACAGUCUCAUCUUCAUCUGAUUACGUAGGACUUCCUCGAUGUUUCUAGCAUUAUCUAUUUUCAGUUUUCAGUUUCAGUUGAACUUUUGGUUAGGGGUCCAUCAGUGGAUUCCCAAGUUGUAACCUUGAAGUUUUGGGAGGAUUGGAGUUUUAUUAUUUCAGUUAUGCAUGGAGGGUUUUAUAAAUAAUGUUUCUUUUAUUCCAUCUUUAUUAUUUCAUUUUGUCA